GUGUCAGCAGCCGCGGUAAUACGUAGGGGGCGAGCGUUGUCCGGAUUUAUUGGGCGUAAAGAGCGUGUAGGCGGCCAGGUAGGUCCGUUGUGAAAACUCGAGGCUCAACCUCGAGACGUCGAUGGAAACCAUCUGGCUAGAGUCCGGAAGAGGAGAGUGGAAUUCCUGGUGUAGCGGUGAAAUGCGCAGAUAUCAGGAAGAACACCUAUGGCGAAGGCAGCUCUCUGGGACGGUACUGACGCUGAGACGCGAAAGCGUGGGGAGCGAACAGGAUUAGAUACCCCUGUAGUCC
rnacentral:rRNA from 1 species